UGCCAGCCGCCGCGGUAACACGGGGGGCGCAAGCGUUAUUCGGAAUUAUUGGGCGUAAAGGGCGCGCAGGCGGUCUUGUCCGUCAGGUGUGAAAGCUCGGGGCUCAACCCCGGAAGUGCACUUGAAACAGCAAGACUUGAAUACGGUAGAGGAGAGAGGAAUUCCUGGUGUAGAGGUGAAAUUCGUAGAUAUCAGGAGGAACACCGAUGGCGAAGGCAUCUCUGGCCAAAGACUGACGCUCAUGUGCGAAAGUGUGGGUAGCGAACAGGAUUAGAUA
rnacentral:rRNA from 1 species